rnacentral:rRNA from 1 species
GUGACUGCGUACCUUUUGUAUAAUGGGUCAGCGACUUAUAUUCUGUAGCAAGGUUAACCGAAUAGGGGAGCCGGAGGGAAACCGAGUCUUAAUUGGGCGUUAAGUUGCAGGGUAUAGACCCGAAACCCGGUGAUCUAGCCAUGGGCAGGUUGAAGGUUGGGUAACACUAACUGGAGGACCGAACCGACUAAUGUUGAAAAAUUAGCGGAUGACCUGUGGCUGGGGGUGAAAGGCCAAUCAAACCGGGAGAUAGCUGGUUCUCCCCGAAAGCUAUUUAGGUAGCGCCUCGUGAAUUCAUCUCCGGGGGUAGAGCACUGUUUCGGCUAGGGGGCCAUCCCGGCUUACCAACCCGAUGCAAACUGCGAAUACCGGAGAAUGUUAUCACGGGAGACACACGGCGGGUGCUAACGUCCGUCGUGAAGAGGGAAACAACCCAGACCGCCAGCUAAGGUCCCAAAGUCAUGGUUAAGUGGGAAACGAUGUGGGAAGGCCCAGACAGCCAGGAUGUUGGCUUAGAAGCAGCCAUCAUUUAAAGAAAGCGUAAUAGCUCACUGGUCGAGUCGGCCUGCGCGGAAGAUGUAACGGGGCUAAACCAUGCACCGAAGCUGCGGCAGCGACACUCAGGUGUUGUUGGGUAGGGGAGCGUUCUGUAAGCCUGCGAAGGUGGCCUGUGAGGGUUGCUGGAGGUAUCAGAAGUGCGAAUGCUGACAUAAGUAACGAUAAAGCGGGUGAAAAGCCCGCUCGCCGGAAGACCAAGGGUUCCUGUCCAACGUUAAUCGGGGCAGGGUGAGUCGACCCCUAAGGCGAGGCCGAAAGGCGUAGUCGAUGGGAAACGGGUUAAUAUUCCCGUACUUGGUGUUACUGCGAAGGGGGGACGGAGAAGGCUAUGUUGGCCGGGCGACGGUUGUCCCGGUUUAAGCGUGUAGGUGUGUGUUCCAGGUAAAUCCGGUUCACUUUAACACUGAGGCGUGACGACGAGGCACUACGGUGCUGAAGCAACAAAUGCCCUGCUUCCAGGAAAAGCCUCUAAGCAUCAGGUAACAUCAAAUCGUACCCCAAACCGACACAGGUGGUCAGGUAGAGAAUACCAAGGCGCUUGAGAGAACUCGGGUGAAGGAACUAGGCAAAAUGGUGCCGUAACUUCGGGAGAAGGCACGCUGACACGUAGGUGAAGUGAUUUACUCAUGGAGCUGAAGUCAGUCGAAGAUACCAGCUGGCUGCAACUGUUUAUUAAAAACACAGCACUGUGCAAACACGAAAGUGGACGUAUACGGUGUGACGCCUGCCCGGUGCCGGAAGGUUAAUUGAUGGGGUCAGCGCAAGCGAAGCUCCUGAUCGAAGCCCCGGUAAACGGCGGCCGUAACUAUAACGGUCCUAAGGUAGCGAAAUUCCUUGUCGGGUAAGUUCCGACCUGCACGAAUGGCGUAAUGAUGGCCAGGCUGUCUCCACCCGAGACUCAGUGAAAUUGAACUCGCUGUGAAGAUGCAGUGUACCCGCGGCAAGACGGAAAGACCCCGUGAACCUUUACUAUAGCUUGACACUGAACAUUGAGCCUUGAUGUGUAGGAUAGGUGGGAGGCUUUGAAGUGUGGACGCCAGUCUGCAUGGAGCCGGCCUUGAAAUACCACCCUUUAAUGUUUGAUGUUCUAACGUGGACCCGUGAUCCGGGUUGCGGACAGUGUCUGGUGGGUAGUUUGACUGGGGCGGUCUCCUCCUAAAGAGUAACGGAGGAGCACGAAGGUUGGCUAAUCCUGGUCGGACAUCAGGAGGUUAGUGCAAUGGCAUAAGCCAGCUUGACUGCGAGCGUGACGGCGCGAGCAGGUGCGAAAGCAGGUCAUAGUGAUCCGGUGGUUCUGAAUGGAAGGGCCAUCGCUCAACGGAUAAAAGGUACUCCGGGGAUAACAGGCUGAUACCGCCCAAGAGUUCAUAUCGACGGCGGUGUUUGGCACCUCGAUGUCGGCUCAUCACAUCCUGGGGCUGAAGUAGGUCCCAAGGGUAUGGCUGUUCGCCAUUUAAAGUGGUACGCGAGCUGGGUUUAGAACGUCGUGAGACAGUUCGGUCCCUAUCUGCCGUGGGCGCUGGAGAACUGAGGGGGGCUGCUCCUAGUACGAGAGGACCGGAGUGGACGCAUCACUGGUGUUCGGGUUGUCAUGCCAAUGGCACUGCCCGGUAGCUAAAUGCGGAAGAGAUAAGUGCUGAAAGCAUCUAAGCACGAAACUUGCCCCGAGAUGAGUUCUCCCUGAGACUUAGAGUCUCCUGAAGGAACGUUGAAGACGACGACGUUGAUAGGCCGGGUGUGUAAGCGCAGCGAUGCGUUGAGCUAACCGGUACUAAUGAACCGUGAGGCUUAACCUUACAACGCCGAAG